UACGUAGGGUGCAAGCGUUAAUCGGAAUUACUGGGCGUAAAGCGUGCGCAGGCGGUUUUGUAAGUCUGUCGUGAAAUCCCCCGGGCUCAACCUGGGAAUUGCGAUGGAGACUGCAAGGCUAGAAUCUGGCAGAGGGGGGGUAGAAUUCCACGUGUAGCAGUGAAAUGCGUAGAGAUGUGGAGGAACACCGAUGGCGAAGGCAGCCUCCUGGGCCAGCACUGACGCUCAUGCACGAAAAGCCGUGGGGGAGCAAAACAGG
rnacentral:rRNA from 1 species